CCCCUGUCACUUCCAGUUAUGAGGUCACCUCCUCAAUCCCUCCUGCAAGGUUGUUCAAGGCCACCAUCCUUGAAGAGAAACAUCUUCACAAGAUCUUGCCACAGGGUGUUAAGAGUGUCGAAAUCCUUGAAGGAGAUGGUGGAGUUGGCACAAUUAAGUUGACCACAUUUGUUGAUGGUAAGAUAAUCAAUACAAAGUGAUUAUUUUCACACAUUUGAAGUCUUCAAAUUGCUCCUUUUUUUUUCCUUUUAUUUGGGAAAAACUAAUGACUUUUUUUUUUGGUUGGGUUAAAUAUUUAGGUGGCGAGCAUAAGACUGCCAAGCAGAGAGUUGAUGGAAUUGACAAAGAAAAAUUUACAUACAGUUAUACUGUACUUGAAGCUGAUGGAUUUAACGAUGUAAUCGAGAAAAUCUGUUGUGUCAUCAAAUUUGAACCCUCUGCUGAUGGAGGUUCAAUCUGCAAAACCACUAACACAUACCACCCCAAAAGUGGUGCUCAGAUCGGUGAGGAACACCUCAAGGGAGGAAAAGAGAUGGGUUUGGGAAUGGUUAAGGCUGUUGAGGCUUACCUCCACGCAAAUCCUACUGCCUACAACUAAUUAUAAUGAAUGCUACUGAAGGACUCUUCGACAUAUUUUCUUCAAGAUUGAAGUACACACUGAGGGUGUGUUUCCUUUUUUGCUUGGUUUGCUUUAAGCUGUUUGGUUAAGUUAAAAACAAAAUUGAAUCAUAGAGAGAACAAAAAAAAUAUAGUGUUUCUUAUGGAGAAAAAAAUGGAGCUGAUGCCUAAAAUCUCACAUGGAUCCAACUCAGUCCAUUUAAUGGAGAAAAGGCAAAUAACACAACAAGAAUAUGCUCAAAGUUGGAAAAAUGUGCUAUAAUUAUGAUUACUCCUUUAUGAAAUAAAGCUGAAAGCAGCUCAAUUUCUUUUUGUUUUCCAUAUUAUUCAAUUUCGUUGUCGAUUUUUGAUAGAUGUAUUUUUUUUAUUGCUUUAAUAAGGGCUAUGAUUGGAUAUCCUGUUAUGCCAUUGGCUGUCGAUGCUAAACCUGAUAAAUUAGAUGGAUCAUCCAAAUAAAGACAAAAUUGGCUAUGUAAACAUUGGUGAGGGACUAUUUCAGCUUAAGAAAAAUAGUUGAGGGACUAAAUUGGCUUAUAAUAAAAUUAGGGACUAUUUCAGCUUUGUAAAAAUAGUUGAGAGACUAAAUUGACUCAUGAAAAGUUUAGGGACUAUUUUGACAUUAACGAAAUAGUUUUGGGACUAUAAACAUUAGGUCACAAUGUUGAAAUAUCAAAACACAUGUUUGGGACCAAAACUCAUAGAACUUCUUCACGUCGCCAACGAAAUUUGAUUCUGAAGUAAUGCUAAUUUUAUUUAUUAUUUGUUUCCUUGCUGGUCUUCUGUCUUUUUGGUUACAAUAUUAAAAUGUAUCCAUAAUUUUCAAUUCCAAAAGUGUUGAAUAUUUAAACGAAUUCUAGGAAGGGCACUGAGAGUCAAAAUCUUAUUCAAACAGCCAGCCAUCUCAGAGUACAUAUUUUUUUAUUAUCAGGUUUAAAAUGUAUCUAUUGCAAUUUUUGAAUGAUUAGCCAUGACUAAGAGAAUAAAAUAAUUCACUUGCUGUUUUUAGAUAUGAAUUCAUGACUGUCAGUAGUCUAUAAAUACACUUAUUGCUCACCACCCUUAAUUUGCACCGCAAAAUCUUUUCAAGAUCUAUCAAACCCUCCUGUUCUUGAUCUUUGUCCAUUUGUGAAAAAGCAAAUUAAAGCAUCAUGGCUCCUAUCACUUGUAGUGCUGAGAUAACCCCCCCAAUCCCUCCUGCAAGGUUGUUCAAGGCCGCCAUCCUUGAUGACCACCUUCUUCCCAAGAUCAUGCCACAGGCUAUUAAGAGUGUGGAAAUCCUUGAAGGAGAUGGUGGAGUUUGAACGAUUAAGUUGAGCACAUUUGGUGAAGGUUAGAUGUUAUAUUAAAUGUAGAACCCAAAUUUUAAGGAUCUAAUAAUAAUCAAUGCGUGCAGGGUUACAGAAUUGAAGGGAUAAAAUAAAUAUUCAAAAUAUACGUGGAAGAAAAGAAAAUAAUAAUUCAACUCACAAUAUUAUUAAAAUUUCAAACAAUGAAAAAAAUCACACCACAAUAAAUUUAGCUGGUUCUAAUAAUAAUCAAAGCAUACAAGCUUACAGAAUUAAAAGGAUAAAACAAAUACUCAAAAUAUAUGUGGGAGAGAAGAAAAUAAUAUAUUCAACACACAAUAUUAUUGAAAUCUCAAACAAUGAAAAAAGUCACACCAUAAUAGAAAACCUUGCAAAUUUUUCUAGAUUCUUUCUCUUGAGAAACCAACCUAAAUAAUAUCCUAUUUAUAAUCUACCAAACUUGUUAGGAAAGAAAUCACUUGCGUAAGAAAUUACGAAAUAAAACAGAAAUUCCUAAAUCACACAACUACUAAAAACAUAACUCAAAUAAAAUUAGAAAAUAAAUAAAUAUUUCUAGGCUUAGUUUAAUUUGUCAACAUUGCCUCCCUUAAACCAAACUAUCCAGUGAGAUAGGUUCAACACCAUCUCAAGCAACAAUUUCUAUGUAAAUCUAUGUCGUAGUAUACUUGACAUGAAACUCUAACUUGUUAUUGGUUAUUAAUUUUGUCUUUACAUGUAACAGUGGAUGCACUAUGUAUUUUGUAAAAAAAUUCUCAACAAUUUCUUCUUGAUCAAAGUACUCACUUAUAUAAACCCAUUCAUCACCAGAAUCACCAUAUUUACCACCAAUGUAAGUGCCUAAAAUUACAAAAUCAUAGAUUGCUUUCUCGCUAAAAUUAUCAUCACCAAAUAAUUCAAAAUAACCACUACUACAAUCAUCCAAAAAUUUCAUACUGUCAGUCAACUCUUUUGGAGUAAAAUAUUUUUCAACUCCAAUGUCAUCCAUAUCUAUCAAAUCAAACAUUCUCCCAUCACUUUGAAGAGACUCCGAACCAACGAAUUUUUCAACAGCAAUUUCAUGUUCUCUUCUCUUAUCAAAUCAAAAUUUUCUUCUUCUUUUGUCAAAUUACCAUAUUAUUUUUUUUCAACAAAUUCAUUACUUCUAAUUUCUCCAAACAAGGUACGCAAAUCAAAAAUAUCAAUUGAUCCAAAAUUUUCGGUAUCAGCCAUAUUAUCAACAAAUCUAUCAUUUUUUAAAUCCACAAACCAAUACCAGCAACUAGACUUCAGUUCGAAAGCAUAAUUUCUUUCAAUCAUGUGCAAAACAUAGUAAAUAUGCUUCCAAAAUCUCUAAAGUAUUUUAGUACGACCGAUAAAGGUUUUAUAAAUACUUUUUGCCAUUAUUUUACGCAUCACUUGAAAGAAUAAUUGUGCCUUUUUCUUAAAAACAUGUUUUUACAACUUAAUUGCAUCAACCCAACAAAGAAUAUCAUCCAAAUUACAUUGUUUGAGAUAUUUUUCCACUGUUAAAAUCCAACCAAAAUAUGUAUGUCUAUUUGUGCUUAUAGGAGUCAAUAUGGAAAAUUUUUCACCAUCAAUCAGAUCUUUAUAAUAUCCAUUAUUUAACAAUUUGUAUACCUGAAUAAAUUUUUUUCCUCCAUCCUAUCAUGUUUUCUUGCCCUCCAUGGUUGACUGACCAAAUUAUUGUUGUAUGUAUACCCAUGCUCGUCAAACCUCAUUCGUGUACACUCGUAAGGAGUGGUUCUGAGCUUAUUGUGAAUGCUCAGUACCAAGAAGUAGAAGAGAUAAUGCAUAAGAGAGAAUUAACUUGGCUAAAGAAUUGGGAAGCAAUUUAGGGAUUUUUUAAGAAAUUAAUUCUCCAACCGCCACUUUUGGAAAUUUCUAUCAACAACUAGUUACCAAAACACUAGCACAUAGUAAGAAAUCCGGAUAAUUUCAUAAACCUACCUUUAGGUUUUUAAUAAUUUCAAGAAGCUCUCCUCAAUAUUUUAAAAUUACACAUACUUUCCCUAUUGGUGCAAAAGUACUCUACUACCCCUAAUAGGAUACUCAAAAGACUUUUUUAUGGGAAAAAAGAAGCUCAGAAAGCCAAGCAAAAACAAAAAUCAAUUGAUUUUCUCUUUUAGCCUUUUACGCUUUUGCCUUCUACCUUUACGCGCUUUCCCAUGCCAAUCUUCCUAUAACGACUUCCCUAGUCCCCUUUCCCCAACUUUUCUCCUCUACUUCAAGACCAAUUUUUGUCCAUCAAUCCUGGCUUGUGCUUUGUUACAUUCCCUUCCCUUCUCCUUUUUUGAUUUCCCCUACAUCUCCUUUUCUCUUUGCAAAAGUGACUAGGCUCGUCUCUCUCUCUCUUUUCCCCUAUUCUAAGUGUAGUGGAUUUGAUUAUUUUGCAUCUAUUUUAUUUGAUUUUGCUUGAUUAUGGGUGAUAAAACUUGGUGAUAUCAACCAUCAUAAGUUUGAUAGAUGGAUAUUGGGCUUUAGGCAAUGAUUUGUUGAAAAAAAAUGGCUGCAAUGAGAGGAAGAGGCAAGGGGAUUUGAGUGUGGGGUUGAUUUUUGAUGAAUUGUUGUUUUGGACAAAAUUUGAGGUUGAGUUUUAUCAAAUUUGGUAGCAAGUGGCGAGAUUUGUUCUGGUUGUGGGAAAUAAAUUGGAUUGUGGUUUCUUGGGCACCCACAGUUGUUGGAAUUGGUUUUGAUUCAAAUAAGGGUGGUUACUUGAUUUUCCUAAUAGUGUUGCUUAAGAGCACACGAUCAUCAAAAUUCCUUAUUUUUAUCUUUUAUUUGUAGAAAAGAUUUCAUGACUUUCAUGAUAGUCUAAUUUGGAAGAAGGCAAUCAAGGGAUGCAAUCAACAUUUAGCAAAAGCUCUUGUUCUUUUCUUUGUAAAUUUCUGGGUAAAGAGGGUAGUUUAGGGUAUUUGAAGGAAAUGAUAGCCUAUUGGGCAUAUUUUGAAGCAUAAAUAGUGAAAGUGAGGGAGGUUGGUGUAAUUUCUGAAACCUAAGGGAAGCUGUCUGAAAUUGUCCUAGACCUCAGGGUAGGUUUCUGAAAUUAUCCCUAGAAAUCAAAUGCGAAACUUGAUUAGUACACGCACACACCACACCGCACCGCACCCCGCCAUGCGUGUAUUGAGGACCGAUGUCCGUAACGAACCACAAGCAGGUUUUCAAUUUCUUUUUUCCUUUUCUGGAUUCUCCAGAGAUAGUGUCAACUUCUAUUAGUGAUGAGCAGGAGGAAAUGCACAAUAUAAAGUACAGAUCACCCAUAUUCUUUUUAAUUGCACAAUGUAUGAGAUUAUGGUGAUUCGAAAUUAAAUUAUAGGUUUAUUGGGCUACGAAUCCAAAGUAAGCGUUGGAAAUGUAUUGUGACAACAAUUGUUAACUUAGGCCACAAAUGAUCAAAAUAAAUAUUGAAGGUUUAAUAUGAGAUUAUGGGUACGUUCAAAAUAUAUUUACUCAAAGAACAAAGUUAUUCGACUAUAUGUUUAUUCACGUCUACUAACUUAUUUAAAGUCAUUUUUUAUUUCACUAUCCAAAGAAGAAUUCUUGGGCGUUAACAUUUUUCUUACAUGCCAAGACUAUUAAUGCAAGUUGACCCAAAUCUCUCUCCCUUUUUCUCUCAAUUCUUAGGACGUACUGAUGCCAAUUCUUACCGUUUAGAAAGAAAAAUUAGAUUGUUUAUAUAUAUGAUGAGUUCCCUCUAAGUCAUGGUUAAGAAAAAUUCUUAGUUAAACGCAGUUUUAUGAAAUGUGAAUUUCCUUUUCUUUGUCUUUAUUCAUUGGUAUUAUUGGGGUUAUUGUAUUAUGAUUGCAAUGCACAGAUACAGGGAUUUAAUCGACUCUGACUAUGUCUCAAACUCGAGACCUUAUGCUUGUAAAAAUUCAGAAGAAUAAUUUUGGACCUUAUUACUUAAUAAUGGUACAAUUAUGAGAGUCAUUCCAGGUUAAUUAUCAAACUUGGAACUUGAAAAUAAUGUCGACAUCAUGUCAUUAUUAUUUUUUUAGUUUCAUAGAAAAAUGAAGUAUUCUCCGACUCGACAUUAUCAUAGUGUAUUUUCAAUUGGCAGCUCAUGUGAGAAAGACAAGAAAUUCACAAUCAACUGGCCAAGAGAGUGCCAACAAAGAAAGCACUAAAUGGCUUAAACAAAGCAUGCAAAUUUGCUUAGCACUUAAACAAUAGACACCUAAAUCAACCAUGUCACUGUCUUGCCAAAAAAAUUCACAAUCAACUGGCCAAGAGAGUGCCAACAAAGAAAGCACUAAAUGGCUUAAACAAAGCAUGCAAAUUUGCUUAGCACUUAAAAAAGGGCAUUAAAGUAAAAACAACUCAUGCCUACCACAGGUAACAAACUUCAGCACCUUCACUUCACUGCCACGUCAUCAACAACAUUUGCAAAUUUCCAAGGAAGUCCACGCACUAAAGGUGCCCAUGCCCCAUAGGGGACCUCAGGUUAGUGUUCUUAACAUCAACUCCUGUCUUUCUGCUCUUAAACGUUAUAACUAAUCCUGAUUUCCUUAUGCUGUAUUUGUACACAAUUUGGCAACUAGGGUGUCCUUUCUUGGGCCAAAUUGGACAAGUAAAAAAAAUAAAAAUUAAAAGGUUUAUCUGCAAACUGUAGUUCGGCCUGGCUUCUUUUUUUUUUUUGGAUAAGAUCAUCUCAGCACCCGCAGACCCCGUCAUGUAUCAAUAUUUCUGUACUUAGCAUUGGCUUCUUCUCGCCUGAAGAACACACGAACCACCGAAAUAGAUGGUGCAUGAAAGUGCACUUAACCCUUUUAAUUUUUCAAAACAAUGCUUUUAGAAAAAAUAAUAAAAACUUUUUGAAUUUAAUUUUAGAGAAGAAGAAUUUUAAAAUUUUUUGAAUUUAAUCUUAGAGAAGAAGAAGUUUAAAAUGUACUUUCAUUUUCACAACUGAUGAUGAAGAUAGCAAAAUGUACACGGAUAGUGACAAAAGUGGGAUCACGGGCAGGAAAUCCUGAAGGUUACGUGCAUUUUGUACACGGCAUAAUUCUGUUUGUAUAUGGUAUACCUUACUUUUUACAACGUGUAUUUUUAGAACAAAAUUUUGUGAGUCUCACACAUUUUAUUAAAAAUGAGGUACAAGAUGAAAUUUGGACCGUAUAAUUUUUUUUAAUCAAAUCUUGACCGUGAACUGCUCAGGGACGAUCCACCUGAUGACCGUCCCUGCCCCAGAUCCGACAAAAGUGCCAUCUUAUCCUUUUACUGACUGGCCCGUUUUCCAAUGACAGCGCCCAGAAGGGGUGCCUCUGCUUCAUAGUUUAUCCAUAUUGAUAUUUCUUUUCUGUACCCCUGACUAUUAAAUGUGAAAGGGUGCCCACCAAAUUUGACGAAACCGUUUAUCCUAAUUGAUUAUUAUCAAUAGGGCAUAACUUUAAUAUUCUACUUCCAACCCUUUCUGGUGAUUCCUGCAACUCCAGCCGUCCGUCAAUGACCAUAGUGCACCAUUAACCGACAACUAACUAACCACUACUAAUCUAUUCUCAAAUUUUAAUGAAAUUGCACAAUUAGUUUUCAUUUCUCACUUUUAUUUCAAAUUUGGUCUCAAUUUAAUGUGAAUCCCAAUAAAUAAGACCGGAGUUGAAAUCAAAGAAGGUAUUUCAAUCACCAUCAGAUAAAUUCUUCAUAUCUAGUUUCGUUUUUGAGAUGCAUAGAAAAUGUAAGCUGAUUUUUCAAUCUACGAGAAAAACGAAGUCUAAGAGAAUAAUUUUGUCAAAAUUUGACAAUGGAAUAACAGUUGUGAACCGUUGGUCACUGGUUGGCAGCUAGAAGUUAUAGCAGUUUUAAGCAUAAUUGGAGAAAGUAAAAGAUUAAAACUACGUUGUCUACUAUUAACGACUUACAUUGACAAAAUGGCUAAAGCUAGGGUUGAAAAAUAAAUCAAACUACGUGACAUUUGAAUCAACUGCGAUUUGGUAAGAGUUUAUUUCAAUUUGGUUUGUCAACUAGUCAAAUCAAAUUUAAACAACAUUUUAUAGUCGAUAACUUUGAAACUUGAUAAAAAAAAGUCUGUUUAAACUCGGUUUAGUAAAUAAACAAAUCAAGUUUGAACAAAAUUUUAAACUCAUUAAAAUAAUUAAAUACGUUUGAAUACUAGGGUAUUCGAUUUAAUUAGACACGUUUGUACCCCUAAUUAAAGUAUGCACUUUUCUAAGUUUAGGAAUCAACAUUAUACAUUUAAUAGCUAGCUAGAGGGUCAAAAAGUUAAUUGCCUUAAAUUCUUUUAGCAGCCACAAGGUAUAGUUGGAGGGAUUCCCUUGAAAUUGAUUAGAUUCUUCUAUGUGACUAAAGAAUUUCGGAUGUGACGCAUUACUAGUCCUACCCUAAAAAAAAUGGUAUUACUAGUCCUUUUAUUCUUUUUUGGCGUGCCCCCGCCGUGGGGUGUGGGGAGGGGAGCCUGUGCGAGAAUUCUAGAUGGGGUACAAGGAGCCAAAGUUCACCUUAUUCAAAGUAAACAGCCUUCCAUCUCAGAUGUUGAAUUUCCUGGCAAUUGCGUAUGUAUUACAAUCUUUUACCAUGACUUUAGAGGAUAGCUAAUUUUGCUUGCUAUUAAAUAAUAAUUUCGGUAGUCUAUAAAUACUCUUGUUCCUCACUGCUUCUUGCACCACAUAAUUCUUUCAAGAACUACUAAAACCUUCUUGAAAUCCCUCUCUUUCCUUUUAGUUCAUUUCCAAGAAACAAAUUGAACCAUCAUGGCCCCUGUCACUUCCAGUUAUGAGGUCACCUCCUCAAUCCCUCCUGCAAGGUUGUUCAAGGCCACCAUCCUUGAAGAGAAGCAUCUUCACAAGAUCUUGCCACAGGGCGUUAAGAGUGUCGAAAUCCUUGAAGGAGAUGGUGGAGUUGGCACAAUUAAGUUGACCACAUUUCUUGACGGUAAGAUAAUCAAUACAAAGUGAUUAUUUUCACACAUUUGAAGUCUUCAAAUUGCUCCUUUUUUUUUUUUCCUUUUAUUUGGGAAAAACUAAUGACUUUUUUUUUUUUGGUUGCGUUAAAUAUUUAGGUGGCGAGCAUAAGACUGCCAAACAGAGAGUUGAUGGAAUUGACAAAGAAAAAUUUACAUACAGUUAUACUGUACUUGAAGCUGAUGGAUUUAACGAUGUAAUCGAGAAAAUCUGUUGUGUCAUCAAAUUUGAACCCUCUGCUGAUGGAGGUUCAAUCUGCAAAACCACUAACACAUACUACCCCAAAGGUGGUGCUCAGAUCGGUGAGGAACACCUCAAGGGAGGAAAAGAGAUGGGUUUGGGAAUGGUUAAGGCUGUUGAGGCUUACCUCCACGCAAAUCCUACUGCCUACAACUAAUUAUAUUAUCUUCGAGAUUGAAGUACACACACUGAGGGUGUCUGUUUCCUUUUUUGCUUGGUUUGCUUUAAGCUGUUUGUUUAAGUUAUUUGCAACUAUGAUCAUAUAAUAUGAUCGAAGUGUGCUUUUCUUGUAACCUUUGUAUCAUUACAAGGAAUAAAAUCUUGUAUGGAGCUUUUACUUUGUUAUUUGCCAAGAAAUAAACUAUUUUGAGUUCAAUUUCAUAUAUUGGGAAUCAGAGAGCGAUUCCAUGGAUUAGCAGUUUCUUUUGCCCAUCCCUAUCGGCCAUAAUGUUUCUUUGCCUCCAAAAACUUAUUGAAAGUCAUUUUGAUCCUUUGUCCAAGCAACAAUAGACUUGUGAGAAUAUUUUUCUAACCGGCCAUGACUAUUAAUGAAAAUAGACUAAAGAAAAUAUUCUUUAUUUCUGGGACUAAUUCCAAUUCUUACCAGUCAAAAGAAGAAUGACAUGAUGGUCUAUAAGCAAGUCCACAAUAUCCGUGUACUUUCCUUGCUAAUGUACAAAAAAAAUUAGGUAUGAAAUGGAAAACUUCGUUUCCAACGUAUAAGUCAAAAAUUGCAAUGUGACAAAAAUUGAUGACUUCAAUAGAGAGAGUCCAAGAUAAGAAUUAAGCAUCCAAUCUGAGAGAAUUCGUGGAAGCAUGCAAAUGCAGAUGUAAAAGUUGCUUUGGUCCAAAGUGAAAGUGGCUAGCAAAUGUUUUUUUUUUUUUUUUUUAAAUUUGAAGUGAUUGACCGAAAGAGCUAUUCUAGAAGUCAGCAAAAGACGCCUUGUAGCAUCACAUACUACACAGUAUUUUCCUCAUCACAUGUCAAGACAACGUAGUAUAAUAGACUAAUAGUUUAGUAACCUUGGAAUUCAAUGGAACAAUAUUUAGGAGAGAUGGAUAAGAUGAAGAAUUCAUUAGGUGGAUAAGAUAGAAACAUCUGUAAACGAAGAAAGGAGAAAAUGAAGAAGGUGAUCUGAAUUACAAAGACAGCUCCACUACUAAGCAAGAUCACAAGAUUCACUUGGGGCCUAACGCAACAAAAACAGACUUAAAAUGACUAAUUACUAAUUAGUACCAGUGCUAAACACCAAAACGACCUCGUUUUCGCUGCUUACUAGUCAAUUAAUGAAACACUUAAUUCUGUCACAUGAACCCCUUCUCCCAAUUUUUUUUUCUUGAGCAAUGAAAUAUAGAGGGUUGGAUGGAUAUUAAAUUCCAUAGCCAAUUUGAGUUUAUAAUUAAGCCACAGUUCUAGCACUCUUUUCAAAUUAUAAUAAUUUAAUAUUGUAGAUAUCUACAUGUUUUUAAUUUCUCAGGCGAGAUUAUAAUUUUCAACUAUGAUUCUCUUAAUUUUGGUGCCAUGUCCAUUUAAACUAUGGGAGUCGAGAUUAUAAUUUUCUACUAUGAUUCUCUUAAUUUUGGUGCCAUGUCCAUUUAAACUGUGGGAGUAUGUAAGAUUCAAGAAUACCAUAUUAUUAAAAAAAAAAGAAGGAGAAAAUGAGAUGAAGAAUGGAAAAGUAUGGAACAUCAGACUACGAAAUAUAACUUGUUAUUUGGUCAAAAUAGUCAAACCUUUAGAUGGUAAGCACAAUGGUAACUACUCGUAACGCCCACAACACAAAGCCCAAUUGUAUAUUCCAUUAGCCCAACCAUUUCUUGUGGCCUAUCAUGGCCGAUUAGUUACUUUGGGAUCUAGUGUCAUAACUAGUUUGCUUCGGUCGCGCGAUGCGCGAGGGUGCUCAAAUUCAAUUUUUUGAGUCUGUUUUUGGAUAAUAUUUACACAAUUAUGGUUUGUUUGGAUUGGGCUUUAUUUCCCCAAAUUUAUUUGCUUACAUCAUGAUUACAAUUUCCAAUACACCUUUUUACCUUUUCAAUUACCUUUUUAUCUCACAUACAUCACAUCACAAAAAGUGUUACAGUAAAAAUAUCUCUAAUAAUUCACAAUCCAAACAGAUUGAUUCAUGAAGGAUAUUUGCAUGUGGCCUUCAUGAAGUCAUGUUGAAAGGCUAUCAAAAGUUACAAAGUCUCAUGUGGCCUCAAAAAAGGGAUGUCGUUUGGUAGCAUAACAUGGCUCAUUGACCUGACUGUUUCAUCAUCUGCUCAAAUUCAUCACACGCAGCAGCAAGGAAAGAUUCGAAAGAACAGAACUCCACCGCACCGUCCGCCGCACCGCCAAGUGUUUAAAUAGUAACCUGAGCCAUGUGAUAAUGCAGUAGGUGUCAGGAUGACUUGGAUGGAACCAAAACACCCUAAAGCCAAGUCUGCUUCUGCUGACCAAUUACUUCAUCAAGAGUAAAAGUGAGAUCCAAAAAAAAAUAGUCAUAAAAAAAGAGUAAAAGUGAGAUCCAAGGGUACAGUAGUCAUAAAAAAUUCACCAAGAAAUUGGCAAACCAUGAACAUAAAGUACGCGUGAAAUGAUGAAAGAAUCCACACAGUAAAGGUGUUAAUGAGGGACCAAAAUCACUGUUCAUCCAUCUCAUUCACACACUUAUAUAUUGUUAGGAAGUGAAAAAGCAUAGUCCUAUCGUUUCGGAAAAAAAGAAGAAGCAUAGUGCCUUAGUGACUGUUAUUAUCAUUAUUAUUGUUGAUUAAAUUACAAGGACUCACAAUGGCGGAGUAAAAAAAAAUAAAUCAGAACUCAAAUUAGUCCACAAAUAAUGGACAAAUGGUGAAAGUACAACUCAAUAUUACUAAAAACUAAUCCACAUAAAUUGAGAAAAGAAACUCAUAUUAGUGAGGCUUAAACCUAAAACUUAAAAAGUUUUUCUAAUGGGUGCCAAUGACACUCAUUAACACACCUAAAUUCCAUCCAACCUGUUAUAUGUAUACAUACUAAUAAUUAUUAUCUUCUCUUAUAUUUACAUAUUUUCUCUGAUUAAUCUUACAUUUCUAAAUUCUAAUACCAGAAGUACAUCAUAAUGGGUGGCCAUUGGGCACUCGUUACACAGAUCCAAAACUUAAAGUUCUUGGGGCUUCAAUUUUGAGCACUAAACCCAGAACUCAUCGGCUUUACUGAUUCCUUGAGUAGGAUUAAUUGGGAAUCUCUCCAAUUAGAACCCAAUUGCAAAAUUUCAGCCAUUCUCCAAAAAUUUCGAAAAGGGCCUAGUCCAAGAGAGUUUGGAGAAGCUAUUGUCAUCAAAUCUAACGCUUUAGAUUUGAGUUGGAAUUAUGGUAAUAGGUGGAGAAACCGCAGUUUAAAUACGUUGAUUUUGUGUGCCAUGGGCUGUUUGGACUUAUCAAUUGGGCAAAUAUUUUACGUUCUUGGAAGUUGAGACUUUAAUUUUGGGUCCAUGUAAGGUUUUGGAAAGCAAACACACGAUCGAGAAUAUUCCUGAUCCAGCCUUGCUGGAAAUGGGCUAAUAGCGGGAAAGUUUCACUGUUUAAGAUGCCGGGGAAUGUCAUGCUCCGAACUCAGCCCAUAGACCAGAUACUUAUGAGAGUUUACUUCCACGAAUACAAAGCAUCAUACAUAACUUACAUAAAGUUACUAAAUAUUAAAAUUUACAAUUAACUCAGAAAUGAAAGAAUUAUCAUUACCUAAAUCAAUAGCACUUUGAGUCAUCAACACUGGUCAAAAUAACUUAAUAUGGGAAGUGCAAGUUCUUAUGGCUUAAUAGCCUGCUAAUCUUUUUAGCCAAUAAGUCAAAACUCGAUCGCCAAUAUAUGUGUCUCUCUCUUAUGUUCUUGAUAUAAACACUAAUCUUCUAACUGUUGUUUCAACGAUGCACGUGCAAUUCACAUGGCUUUUCCGUUAGUUUGAUCAAUUUAUCAUCAAAGGUCCUAUAAUCGUCCUUUUUUUUUAUUUAUAAAAUUAAAAGAUUAAAUUAGUACGUGAUAAUAGGUGUAAGGACCAAAUUGAUCAAGACCUCAAAAAUAAGGGUACAAUAGUUAUUUUCCAUUUUCAAUAUUGGGAACUUAUGUAUUUAUCUCUGAGCACAUAUUUACACUUGUAAGAUUGUGAUUGGUGCAAUUUGUAAAUUGGAAUUACGCUGAUUCUUGGGACUGUGUUGAUGGCUGUUAAUCACUAUGGACCAUAUCAUGUUGACCAUCCUGCAUGCACUAAAUCCCUGCACUAAGCCAAUGGCUAUAAAUCUUAAUUGUGUUUUAAUCACUUUGAUAUUUUGUCAUCUUGUGGUGUUCCGGGUAUCUCGUAAGGCACAAUGGUGUUAUGUUUCAAACUCGAGACAAGAAAAUAUUGGCCUUUAUGUCUCAGAAUAUAAUUAAAACGUUGUAUGGCAUACGAGUAACACAUAAUAUGGAAAUUUACUUCUCCGAUGCUUCCAGCAAUUAUUAAUCUUUCUGGAGCUUCUCGAAUGAUAAUCGAAACCUCUAUUUCGCAAUUUAACACGGAAGAACUUUACUUGUCUGUAUUACUUGAGAACACAUGGACUGGAAAUGGUAGAGAGGUUUUGGAUAAUGCUGCAUCAGAGUUGAGGAAAUGAAAUCACAAUAAUUGUCAUUCAAGAAAAAAAAUUUCAAACAAGUUCAUUUAGCUUCACAAGAAAAUACAAGCAAAGUACUAUUUCAUGUGACAUUGUGAUCGUAACUCGAAAGAGUCGAAACAAAUUGCAUCAUCCCAGAAAGGCUUUUGAAGACAGCAAUCUAAGAUAAUUAACAAGUAUGUGAAGGAAUAGGCAAAUAGCACUGCUGAAUUAGUUGUAUUCAUGAGGAUUGGCGAGGAGGUAGGCCUCGACAGCCUUGAACAUGACCAAGGCCUUCUCUUUUCCUGCCUUAAUUUUUUCUUUUCCCCCCUCAGUCUGUUCUUCUGUAAGCUGGACGUCACCCUUGCUGUGGCAUGCUCGGCUGGUUUUGCAAAUUGACCGUCCAUCUCCAGAGACUUUGAUUUUGACAACAUGUGUGACUUUCUCUAUCACGUUCUUGGGGGCAUCACCUUCAGUUACAGUAUUAGUUAUUUUUUGUCAAAUCCUUCGAUUUUGUGCUUUGCACUCUUAAAUUAACUCCCUAAAACCUCAAAAAAAAAAAAUAUUUUUCACAUAUAACUGAUAUCAUGUAAGACAAUUUAACAACAGAUAGAAUGAAAGAACAAAGAGUGAUAAAGAAAAUCAUAACAGCUAUUAAGUGUUUGUGUGCGGAAUGACCUUCACUGAAAGUGAUCAACUUGAUUGUUCCAGCUCCACCAUCCCCUUUAAGGGUUUCUACAUUCUUGAUAGCUUGUGGCAUGACCUUAGGAACGAGGUCGUCCCCAUCAAGGAUGAAGGCCUUAAACAACCUUGCAGGAGGGGUUGAGGAAGUGACCUCUGAUUCAAAAGUGAUGACGGCCAUGAUAUCCAUGUUAAGUUUCUGCUCAGAAUGAAUGCUAUUACUCAAGAAGCUAAGCUGAAGUUGUUGUGCAAAUCAAGGUACAAAAAACACUGUGGACUUCAUGCUGUCUCUCGUUGUGCUGAUUGCUGAAUACUGACAAUUAUUAAGUAUUGGACAAAAUGGACCUUGAGACUUGAGAGCCCGCAACAUGGCGUGUGGAAUAAAAAUAUUUUAAAACAAGGCUCUUUUGAUUGACUUCUAGAAUUGUUACCUUUUGUUGAGAUAUGCCUAACUUUUGUAGUUGUUUUCUAGAUUUAUUUGGUGGGAGAAUAAUUUAGAUAGUUGCUGAAUAAACGUAAUUAUUAGAAUAUUUAUUAACAGUGAAUCAUGUUGAGUUGGUAACAAAUAUUUCUGUUAAGAUUUAGAUUAUGCUAAUUAGUUAGCAAGUAGUUUUGUUGAGAUUUUUAUGGAAAUUUAUUAGUUGAAAAUUAUGUUAGUUUGUUUCAUGUAAAUAAUAGUGAGUUGAUAAAUAAAGAAGGUAAGCUUAUUUUCAACUCACAAUACAAGUCUUUUUGGAGUCAUUUUUCUACUAUUGCUUGACCUCUCCCACUUAAAAUUUAUUUAACAACAACUUUGUCAAUGUUCAAUGGAUUAGGGAACUUAGGAACUACAUUGGAUUGAAAUUGUUUGGAAUUAUACAGUCGGUGUACCUAUUCAUUGAUUGCUAGAUUUUAAAAUUAAGGAAGAAAUGUGUGUCCAAUUCUUCAAACAAAACUGACCGCAAAGUCAACUGAACUAUAUAGAUUUUUUUAUUUUACGAAGAACUUGUUCUAGCAUUAAAAUAAUGUGUGACUUUAUCACCGGCCUCAAUUCUUUAGUUGGAUUAUUAUUAACAUGCUAAUUUAAUUACUAGACCAUCAACCAAGGUGCAGGUGUAUUUUACUCAAAGUUUACAUCACCAUUCAACAAAGUUGGAUUAAUAGAUUAUACUAUGUGAAAUCAGGGUCCUACUUUUCUGUUCAAAGUUUACAUUACAAUUCAACAAAAAAGAAAGCACAAGAAGACUGACUAUGAAGUCUAUUAGGCCUUUUGUACUUAGAUUCAGGCUACAACUUCAAUCUAUAAAUACCAUCUCCAAUCACUUCUGUUUCCACCAAAAAUCCUCUUAAGGAACUACUGAAGUCUAAAACCUUCUUGAAAUCCCUUUGUUCUUUAACCGUUGUCCAUUUCCGAAGAAUAAAAAAAACCAUCAUUGCCCCAUUCACAUAUGAUUAUGAGGUCACCUCCUCAAUCCCUCCUGCAAGG
rnacentral:lncRNA from 1 species